rnacentral:rRNA from 1 species
AGAGUUUGAUCCUGGCUCAGGACGAACGCUGGCGGCGUGCUUAACACAUGCAAGUCGAACGAGGUCCACUGAGUAGCAAUACAAGGGAAGACCUAGUGGCGAACGGGUGAGUAUCACGUGAGAAACCAACCCCGGUCUCUGGGAUAACAGUUGGAAACGACUGCUAAUACUGGAUGUCGUCGUACCCUCGCAUGGGGGGAUGACGAAAGGGUUACCGGAUCGGGACGGUCUCGCGGCCUAUCAGCUUGUUGGGGAGGUAACGGCUCACCAAGGCUUCGACGGGUAGCUGGUCUGAGAGGAUGAUCAGCCACACUGGGACUGAGACACGGCCCAGACUCCUACGGGAGGCAGCAGUGGGGAAUCUUGCGCAAUGGGCGAAAGCCUGACGCAGCAACGCCGCGUGCGGGAUGAAGGCCUUCGGGUUGUAAACCGCUUUUAACAGGAACGAAAAUGACGGUACCUGUAGAAUAAGGUGCGGCCAACUACGUGCCAGCAGCCGCAGUGACACGUAGGCACCAAGCGUUGUCCGGAUUUAUUGGGCGUAAAGAGCUCGUAGGCGGUUCAGUAAGUCGGGUGUGAAAACUCUGGGCUUAACCCAGAGACGCCACUCGAUACUACUGUGACUAGAGUUCGGUAGGGGAGCGGGGAAUUCCUAGUGUAGCGGUGAAAUGCGCAGNUAUUNNNNNNAACACCGGUGGCG